UCCUGGAGGCUUAAUGCGAAGUGGGCAACGAAAGGUCUUCGGGGGGACUUACACUUGCGCGUCCCGCGGAAGCGUCCGGGAGCGAUGCCAAAGCUGCGUUGGGAACGGUGGAGUCCGGGGUUCGGAGGAGCAUCUAAGGGUAAAGGAAGCCCGGCAGAUGGGGUGGAGGGAUGAGGGGUUGCGUUUUGGCGCCCAGGGAUCUGUCCCCGCGGUUGCCGGGUGGGAGAGGCUCCGGCGCAGCCGCUUAUCUCGUCUGCUCCUGUGGGUUCAAGACCUUCCGCGCGCCGAAGACCCUGCUGUCGGCUAGGAUCCCUUCCGGAGGCCAGCGACCCCUUGCUUGCUCCUUGUAGGGAGUGCCCAGUAGACUUUCGGGCAUGCAUGGAACUCCUGGGGGGACGGUGGUUUGGGGCCGGUGGGAAGGUCCCCGCUGAAGGCAGAAGUACUCGGAGCCCGCAAGUCCGGGCAGCACCGAACAAGUCAGGAUGUUGAAAGUGAAGGCAGUGGCAGUUCCGCAGGCGGCAGGAACCUAUCAGAGAGGAAAAGCCUCUAUCCUGAGAUCUGUGCCCGAACUUCUGGGUCGAGGUGAGGCUGAAAGAGGGAACUGACCUCGGAGCUCCUGGGGGACCUUUUUUAUUGCUGACACUUUUACUUGCAGGGAGCAGGGAUGGGAUCAAGUCACUGCAACGAGGGUACUGGGGGGAAACGAAGAAGUCACGGAGAAUUUGCCCUCGGAGAGAGGUGGGCCUUACCCAGGAUCUAGGGUGGGCAACAAUGUGCAGUGUGGAUCAGAGAGGAGGAAACGCCGCAAUGUGAGGGACGUCGUGAGAAAGGACCAAAAGUCCCUGUUCACCACAGCAAGGCCCAGAGUUGCUAAUCUGGAUUCUCCGAUUACAGACCUGAUCUUUGAGAGCUCCUUUCUCCACCGCCAGCCUUGUCAUUUCAGCAUUCUGCCUUUCCCUUUGAGGAGGAAGAUCAACCAAGUCCCAGGGUUAGGUGUGAAGUAAGAAGCAAGGCUUGAAAAGAGUGUCUUCACAAGAUAAUCUGCCUGUUUUCUUAAGAUUAAAAAUACUUGAGGAGUUCCUGCUGUGGCACAACAGGAUCCCGGCCUGGCACAGUGGUUUAAAGGAUCCAGCGAUCCAGCAUUGCCACAACUGUGGCUUGGGUCUGAUUCCUGGCCCAGGAGCUCCAUGUGUUGUGAGGUGGCCAAAAAAGGAAAAACAAAACAAAGAAAAACUUGAUAGAACAAUCAGACAUAAUGUAUGGCCUUUGUUGCCUGGUUUAAAGAAAAGCUCUCCAAGAUGUUUUUAGGGCAGUUGGGGAAAUUUGAAUAUGGACCAGAGUAUUAGGGAAUUAUUAAUUUUGUUGGAUGUGAUAAUAUUAUAGUUAAUGUAGGAGCCUUCUUUGGGAAUGUAUGCUGAAACAUUUAUAUUUGAAGCAUUGUGGUGUCUGAAAUUUACUUUAAAAUAAUGCAGCUAAAAAACCCAAAAAUGUGAAAGAAGCAACAUGUCAACAGUUGUUUAUCUAGAUUAUACUCAUUGUCCUUUCUGUUUGCUGUAUUCAUUAAAUUGUUACAAAAAGAGAGAGUAGUUGUCCCACCGUAGAGUAGUGAGAUAUUGGAUGUGAAGCGCUAAGUUCAGUGUCUAGACACAAUAACUGUGCAACAUAUAUCUUCACAAUUAGUUGUAGCAAAAUGCAGUGAUACUUUAAGAGUGUUCAUUUACAGAUACUUCCCAUCAUAAGCUGAUUUCUGGUAGAGGGAGGAAAUAAACUUAGUAGGAAACACCCACUUCUGUAAUGUUAGGAGGGAUUUAUAGUCAGUGAAGGUAAAGUGAAACCCACCAAGAGCUUUUUCUCCUUGCCAUUUUCUUCUUAUAUCUUGAAUACAAAAAGCAACUGAUUUCCGCAUGUUGCUAUGAAGGUCCUCUCUCACUACGUCAUGCUGUGACUUUGCAUAUGAGCAGAUCUAUUGGUAUUUAUCUAUCAUUAGUCUUUGAAUUUUGCUACACUGUGUUGCUGAGAACUGCGUUUAAAAGCAGUCAUUGUAGAGCUGAUUUUUCUCAAGGAAUAGUUUGGUUUUGAGAUUUAUUUUCCUAGUUAAGGACCUCCUAUCAAAGGAAUUGUAGAAGUGGUUCAGUGGUUCACUGGCAAACAUUGCUCCAACAUUUACAGUGAUCUCUUUUCACUUAAAAUAAUGAAAUAAUGUCCCAGGCCAAUAGAAUUUUCAGGGGAAAAAGGCAAAACUCAAAUCUCCUUUUAAAUGGAGAAAUUGGAGGCAAGGAAGGUGAUUUGCUUAAAGUCACAGACAGCAUGUUAAUGCCAGAUUCAGGAAUAAAACUACUUUGCACUUAAAAAAGUUUUGCAGGUGUUCAUAUAUGGAUGAUGCAAUGAGCCCUAUUAUUGUAAAUUGUUCAUCUGUUACAAAUCUGUAGCCAUACUAACUGCUCAUAAGUAAAUAAGCACUUUUAAAGGCUCUAUGUAAGUAAUUAGUUGAGAAUGUUUUUUUACUUUAUUGGAAUUUGAAAGUUCUUUUAAGAAAUUUUUUAUUUGGAUAAUGCAUUUCUUUAACAUGAU